UUAUUUUGAUGGAGAAUAUUUAGCACGAAAAUCAUGAAUCAGCCAACUAUUGGGCCUCAUGGCAUUAAUUUCGAAGAAAAUCAUUUCUGAGCCUGGCCCCAAAAAAGGUUGAAAUCGCCGGGACAAUUCACACAGCCAAUUGAAUAGCGAGCCUUCUGUGUCUGCAAUGAAAGAAGCGAAAGAGAUCCAGUUUAAGGUGUUCACAGUGGUGGAGUAUUGAUGGAUAACCGAUGCUAUUGUUCCGAAGUUGUAAUUCUUCGCAAUCAGCUGAAACCGAAUCCUUCAUGGAUAUCUCUUUUUCUCUUGGAUUCUAAAUUCUUGAUUUUUUCCUUACUUGAGGUGUGCUCUUACUGAUCGCUUGUGUGCCUCACCUCGCCUGAAGUGUGGUUAGGCGCCAUUCUGUUCUUUGCAUUGCCUCAGGACCUGAAUCUUGCCUUUGUUUUCAUUAGAGGCAUGAAAUGCUCAAAGUGUAAAGUCUCUUAAAUUUGAUUUGUCCUAGCUCCUAUAAUUAACAAACUAUAUGUUGUAUUUUGUUUGACAGAUAUAAUAGGUGUUAUACAUCAAAUUAUAUGCACAUCAUUGCUUAUUUUUUCUUAAAUAGUUUAGAUAUACAUGAAAACAGGCUGCUUCCCUUCAGGUUGGCGGUAGAUGUUAUAUUGAAUAUGUUUCAUACAUUCUCGAAAAGUAUUUUUUUUUGUU